rnacentral:lncRNA from 1 species
CCCCCCUCCUCUCCCCCUGCCCCCUCCUCCACGAGAAACCCAGGAAAGAAGUUGGGACUCAUCCUAAUUGCAAUGGAAGCGGCUGGCAGUUUAGGUGGAGCGGCAGCCAUCUGGUUUAUGUUUCUACAUGGUUACUUUAAACACUGGGGGGUUGGGGCCAUUGGGGAGCAAGGGCAGAUGCAGGAGGCCAGUAAGGGGGAGCAUGCGAUCCUCCUGCCUCCUCCCCCGUCUCUGGGGUUACAGGGUGCACCACCAUGGCCGGCACUGAGCUCCUAUGAGAGGACCCGGCUCCCCGGGGACAUCUCUGUUCUGGGACUGACGUAGGAAACAGAUGAGAUGAGCCUGGAGCUCUGGAGCAUCUUGUCCUUCCAGAAUGUGGAGGGUCACCCAGAGCAAAACACGGCCCUGGUGGGGACUCUCCCAGAGUGGCUCAGUGGUCGGGCCUGGAAUGAUGGUUCCCUGUGGACCUAAGGAUCGGGUAGUGGAGAGGAGCCUCCUCUGUGUAGAGGAAUUCCCGCCACCUGUGCCACGCCAUCCCCGAGCCGGGGAGGUCAUCCCCCAUCUGAGGUGUGGGCUGUGGUCCAGAGAGCGAGGGUGAAGGAAGGGGGAGGAGCGACUCUGCAGGGGGAAGCUGACCACUGCCCACUCAUGCAGAUGGCCAAGGGGAGUGUUGGCAGUGACUGGCAUCUCCAGAGAAGUGGGCGGGCAGGAAGGGGAAACAACAGGGCCUCGCCUCUGCAGCACCCUCCUGUGGACACACACCCCGGUCUAAUUAUAGAAAGAACACCUGAGACAUCCCCGGUGAGGACAGUCCACACCCUGGCCAGCACCCUCAAAUUCUCAGUGUGGCAUCCUGGCUGGUCUGGAGCAGAAAGAGGGUAUUCAGUAAAAACAAAGAAAAUCUGCAUCGAGUGUGGACUUCCGCUAAUGAUAACAUGAAUAUACGGAGCCGGCGGGAACUCCGUGUUAUCUGCCAUUUUUAAGAAACUAUUCUAAAAUAAGAGGUUUAGAUGUUUAUUUUAAGUAAAUGGUGAAAUACCAGCUGCACUGCCUGCUCAACUUGGCGCGUCUCACCUGGUCCACUCUCAGGCCUGCACCUAUACUGCAUCUGACCUUGGCCUUGGCUGCUCGACCUUCUCCUGGCCAGUGGCCAAAGUUAGCAGGUGAAGAGUCCAAGUCAGAGUCAUGCCCUGUGGCCGUGGAACAGCUCAGCACUGGCUCUGCUCACGGGCCCACCUGAAAAUGCCCAGAGGUGGGGUAAGCAGGGGUCAGCAAACCCUAGCCGUAGGUCAGAUCCAGCUGGUGGCCUGCUUUUGUCAAUAAAGUUUUAUUGAAACACAGCUGCACCCAUUCAUUUCUGUGCAUCCAUGGCCACUUUGGAUGGCCAACAUUGGCAGAGUUGAGUCUUGCAACAGAGAUCAUGAG